CAGGGCUCAACACAGGUAAGUUGUUGGGAGUUUUUUCAAACUUUGAGUUCAUACAGACUAGUGUGUAAGUAGCUAAGUAUAGAGUGACUCUGGUUCUAAGAAACAAUUGGAAUGUAGCCACAUUUUGGUGAGUGAAGAGUAUCCUUUACUGAAUGCUGUGAAUGAGAUGUCUUCAAAAUGUUUUAAAGCAGUCACUAGGCAGGCAACUUACAAAUGCUGAGAGCCAGGGUGAAUAGAGGUGUGCACCUGUGAUCCCAGCACUUAGGCAGGGGAGCCAGGAAGAUCAAAAGAUCAGUCUUGGCUACCUAGGAAGUAAGAAAAAAAAAAAAAGUAAAAAAACCCAACACCUUGUCUGUGCUGAGUGAGACAUGUGAAAAAGACAUGUGAGGAAACAAUCUCUUCCUUAUCUACAGCUGAGUUAGCCCUGGAGAUACGCUGUGUCAUCUGCUGUUUUAAACGGCAACAAGAACUGGAACUGCCAUCCAUUCUUGUACUCAGCUAUAUUUGGGAAGCCAAGGGAGGUGGAGUGAGAGUUUACAGGGAGGCCCUGUCUCAAAAUAAC
rnacentral:lncRNA from 1 species